CACUGGAGCGUUACAGAUGUACUUCAGAGAGCUGCGCUCUCUUCCACGACUUCAUCAGCGCAAUCAAGAGUCCAGACUACAAGCAGCGGGUUCAGUCCAUUAAAGAUCUGGUCCGACAGCUUCCCGUCUGCAACCACGACACCAUGCAGACUCUCUUCAAGCACCUCAGGAAGGUGAUCGAGCACGGCGAGGAGAACCGUAUGACCACUCAGAGCGUGGCCAUCGUGUACUGCG